rnacentral:rRNA from 1 species
GAUGAACGCUGGCGGCGUGCCUAAUGCAUGCAAGUCGAGCGAACAGACGAGGAGCUUGCUCCUUUGACGUUAGCGGCGGACGGGUGAGUAACACGUGGGUAACCUACCUAUAAGACUGGGAUAACUUCGGGAAACCGGAGCUAAUACCGGAUAAUAUUUCGAACCGCAUGGUUCGAUAGUGAAAGAUGGCUUUGCUAUCACUUAUAGAUGGACCUGCGCCGUAUUAGCUAGUUGGUAAGGUAACGGCUUACCAAGGCAACGAUACGUAGCCGACCUGAGAGGGUGAUCGGCCACACUGGAACUGAGACACGGUCCAGACUCCUAAGGGAGGCAGCAGUAAGGAAUCUUCCGCAAUGGGCGAAAGCCUGACGGAGCAACACCGCGUGAGUGAUGAAGAUCUUCGGAUCGUAAAACUCUGUUAUUAGGGAAGAACAAACGUGUAAGUAACUGUGCACGUCUUGACGGUACCUAAUCAGAAAGCCACGGCUAACUACGUG